rnacentral:rRNA from 1 species
AGAGUUUGAUCCUGGCUCAGGAUGAACGCUGGCGGCGUGCUUAACACAUGCAAGUCGAACGAAACACCUUAUUUGAUUUUCUUCGGAACUGAAGAUUUGGUGAUUGAGUGGCGGACGGGUGAGUAACGCGUGGGUAACCUGCCCUGUACAGGGGGAUAACAGUCAGAAAUGACUGCUAAUACCGCAUAAGACCACAGCACCGCAUGGUGCAGGGGUAAAAACUCCGGUGGUACAGGAUGGACCCGCGUCUGAUUAGCUGGUUGGUGAGGUAACGGCUCACCAAGGCGACGAUCAGUAGCCGGCUUGAGAGAGUGUACGGCCACAUUGGGACUGAGACACGGCCCAAACUCCUACGGGAGGCAGCAGUGGGGAAUAUUGCACAAUGGGGGAAACCCUGAUGCAGCGACGCCGCGUGAGUGAAGAAGUAUCUCGGUAUGUAAAGCUCUAUCAGCAGGGAAGAAAAUGACGGUACCUGACUAAGAAGCCCCGGCUAACUACGUGCCAGCAGCCGCGGU